UUUGCUCCAACUUUAAAUGAUCAUAACUCCUUGUACAUAAUGAUCUGGGUGAUUUACUAUAUAUCAACAGAAAGCUCUGCGAGUCCUCUUUCCAAUGAAAUUGGUUUCAUCCAAUUUGUCUAUCAAAGCAAAAAGUUAUGGUCGAUCUACUUCAGCCUAUCAAAAGAAAAUUUUUGGGUCAACUUCAAACGAUCAUAACUCCUC
rnacentral:lncRNA from 1 species